rnacentral:rRNA from 1 species
UACGGAGGGUGCAAGCGUUAAUCGGAAUUACUGGGCGUAAAGCGUGCGUAGGCGGUUCGUUAAGUCUGUUGUGAAAGCCCCGGGCUCAACCUGGGAAUGGCAAUGGAUACUGGCGAGCUAGAGUGUGUCAGAGGAUGGUGGAAUUCCCGGUGUAGCGGUGAAAUGCGUAGAUAUCUGGAGGAACACCGGUGGCGAAGGCGGCAUCCUGGACCAAUUCUGACGCUGAGGAGCGAAAGCCAGGGGAGCAAACGGG